rnacentral:rRNA from 1 species
UUGCGUAGGUGGUUUGUUAAGUAGGUAGUGAAAUCUGGCGGCUCAACCGUACAGGCUAUUACCUAAACUGGCAGACUCGAGAAUGGUAGAGGUCACUGGAAUUUCUUGUGUAGGAGUGAAAUCCGUAGAUAUAAGAAGGAACACCAAUGGCGUAGGCAGGUGACUGGACCAUUUCUGACACUGAGGCACGAAAGCGUGGGGAGCGAACG